GCAAUUUUGUCUUCUUUAAUGGCUUGAGUGACCCUUGGAGUGGUGGGGGGGUGCUAGAGAAUAUAUCCAAGAGCAUAUAGUUGCCAUCAUAGCAAAAGGAGGGGCUCACCAUGUGGACCUGAGAUUUGCAACCGGUGAAGAUCCAAAAUGGCUUCAAG